AGAGUUUGAUCAUGGCUCAGGAUGAACGCUAGCGGCAGGCCUAACACAUGCAAGUCGAGGGGCAGUUCCGACUUCGGUUGGAAGCGACCGGCGAACGGGUGAGUAACGCGUUUGUAACCUACCUCUGACUGGGGGAUAGCUCCCGGAAACGGGAAUUAAUACCCCAUAACAUUCAUGAAGGGCAUCUUUUAUGAAUUAAAGCUCCGGUGGUCAGAGACGGGCAUGCGUGACAUUAGCUAGUUGGUGAGGUAACGGCUCACCAAGGCUGCGAUAUCUAGGGGGUCUGAGAGGAUGAUCCCCCACACUGGUACUGAGACACGGACCAGACUCCUACGGGAGGCAGCAGUGAGGAAUAUUGGGCAAUGGACGAAAGUCUGACCCAGCCAUGCCGCGUGCAGGAUGAAGGCCCUAUGGGUUGUAAACUGCUUUUGUACAGGAGGAAACACCUGAACGUGUUCAGGUUUGACAGUACUGUGCGAAUAAGCAUCGGCUAACUCCGUGCCAGCAGCCGCGGUAAUACGGAGGAUGCAAGCGUUAUCCGGAUUUAUUGGGUUUGAAGGGUGCGUAGGCGGGAUAAUAAGUCAGAGGUGAAAUCUCCCGGCUUAACCGGGAAACUGUCUUUGAUACUGUUAUUCUUGAGUAUAGUUGAGGUGGGCGGAAUGUGUAAUGUAGCGGUGAAAUGCAUAGAUAUUACACAGAACACCGAUUGCGAAGGCAGCUCACUAAACUAAGACUGACGCUGAUGCACGAAAGCGUGGGUAGCGAACAGGAUUAGAUACCCUGGUAGUCUACGCCGUAAACGAUGAAUACUCGAUGUGUGCGACACAUUGUACGCGUCUGAGCGAAAGCAUUAAGUAUUCCACCUGGGGAGUACGACCGCAAGGUUGAAACUCAAAGGAAUUGACGGGGACCCGCACAAGCGGAGGAACAUGUGGUUUAAUUCGAUGAUACGCGAGGAACCCUUACCUGGGCUUAAAUGCAGAGCGAUGUAUCGGGAAACUGGUAUUCCCUUCGGGGCGAUCUGCAAAGGUGCUGCAUGGCUGUCGUCAGCUC
rnacentral:rRNA from 1 species